UCCAUACUUGUGCGCAUAUCUUGAGGGACAGAGACCCAGUGAAGAUGAGGGCGUUAUUUAUUUCUUUGUUGCCUCAUCGCCUUCGUGUGGUCAUCCCGCGUCACCCACGCUAACUUAUUGAGAGAGAGAGAGAGAGAGAGAGAUGAAGGGGAGGGAAGGCCCACAGCCAAAAGGUGUGAAUGGAUUUACUUGAUCCCCUUCCUUUGAGUGAACUGCCGCCCUUCGUAUGGAAACUUUUACUUGUUAAGUUAAUCCACCAGAGAUUAGAAGAUGUGGAAGAGUGGAAAAAGACAUGCCCUGGGUCCAUCAUUUUUGCGGUAACACGGAGAGCAAGUGGAAGAAAGAAACCUUGGGAGACUUCCAUGACUCAGGAACAAGCACACCUCACUGGGAGCCUUGUGACUGACAGGUGAUGUCACAGAGAGCAAGUAGAAGAAAGCCUGGGAGACUUGCUUAACUCAGGAGCAAGAGCUGUGCCUCACCGGGGGCUCUGCAAUGUGUGGCAGCGACUGCAGGAAUCAACACUCGGGUUUGUCAGCACAGUCACAACGACUUUGUUCAUCAGACUGUUGGUGAAAGGUGAUCAGUGUAAAAGAGGUCAGGAUGUGUGUGUGUGUGUGUAUUUGUUUGUUUACCUAGUUGUCAUGUACAGGAUGGGGGCUAUGGUGGUGGUGUCUCGUCUUUGUGUCUGGUGGUGUCUGACACGGCCAUAAAUUCCUACAUCAUCUCUGCAAACACACGCACGCACGCACACACGCACGCACACACUACUUUCUCAUCAGUCCAUUCAUGCAGCUACUGGUGUGUGGGGAAAGGUGGUAUGUAUGUCUUGUGAUGGAAUUGAAUAAUAGUGUUUUGUUGUCUUGAAAGAUUUCAUUCAGUUUAAAAUUCCUGCUGCAACAAUUGCUGUACCUACUUUGCAAUAGUUUCAUGAGUGAAUAUGUACAUCACAUCAGCAAUGAAGGAUCAAGCUUUUAGAGUUUGUUUGCAACAGUCAUGCAUGAAUUGUCCUGAUGAAAUAGCUGUUGUACAGCUAUUUCAUCAGGACAUCAGGUAGCAGGUGAUUGUGAGUAGUGCCAUGCAGCCAAC